rnacentral:rRNA from 1 species
GAUGAACGCUGGCGGCGUGCCUAAUACAUGCAAGUCGAGCGAACGGACGAGAAGCUUGCUUCUCUGAUGUUAGCGGCGGACGGGUGAGUAACACGUGGAUAACCUACCUAUAAGACUGGGAUAACUUCGGGAAACCGGAGCUAAUACCGGAUGAUAUUUUGAACCGCAUGGUUCAAAAGUGAAAGACGGUCUUGCUGUCACUUAUAGAUGGAUCCGCGCUGCAUUAGCUAGUUGGUAAGGUAACGGCUUACCAAGGCAACGAUGCAUAGCCGACCUGAGAGGGUGAUCGGCCACACUGGAACUGAGACACGGUCCAGACUCCUACGGGAGGCAGCAGUAGGGAAUCUUCCGCAAUGGGCGAAAGCCUGACGGAGCAACGCCGCGUGAGCGAUGAAGGUCUUCGGAUCGUAAAACUCUGUUAUUAGGGAAGAACAUAUGUGUAAGUAACUGUGCACAUCUUGACGGUACCUAAUCAGAAAGCCACGGCUAACUACGUG